UUUUUUUUUUUUCCACUUCUGCAUAAAUAUUCUUCUUCCUUCCAUCAACACAUCAAAAAUUCAAACAAAUAAAAUCCUUAAUAUCAUUCCCUUCAUCAGCAUCGCUUCUUCCCCUAAUAUUACAGAGCCACUUAUUUUUUUUCUCAUUUCUUCUUCCUUAAGUUCGUUCGCCCUUACUCCCAAAUCCGUCGUUGCGGCUCAAUUCGGUACUUAUAGACGCGACUCAACAUAGCAAGUUGAAAGGCAGAGAAAUAAAAUCAAAGCUUCAAACUUCUACUUCUCUUUUAUCAGUGAAAGCCAAGUUCUUGAAAUUGUUCGAGGUCUUUCUAGAAAGAAAAAAAAAAAUUGCUGCUUCUUCUUUCUCAUCUUUUUCUUCUCUAGUUGUCGUCGUGGUUUUGGGUUUUGGGUGGUGUUGGUGGUUGCAGUAGCACUGGCAGUGGCGAUAAUGGAAGAAUUUUGUUGGUAAAUUCAAAUGCUCCGAUGAGUAG
rnacentral:lncRNA from 1 species